UCGGAUUCAGGUUUGCUAUUUUCUGCGUAUGAUCAUGGUUUUUGGACUACGCUGAUGCAUUUGCUAUCAAUUAGGUUCUUCAACUCUGUCCUUCAGCAGAGAGAUCGAAUUCUAUUAUCAUCUUUGUCUUCCCAAAAUAUAACAACUUGGUCACUUUCUCCCGUUACAGUGCAUGCAUCAGACCAGGACAUGCAGAAGAGUUGUGUCAUUUUAUUGAUGGUUCAUGCCCAGAAAUUCUUAGAAAAUUUAUUCCAUCAUUCCAUAAAUUCAGCCAGUUGCAAGAUUUUAAAUAGACUGCCAAACUGUGGAGCAAUUGGGGCACAUAAAUACUAUUGACAUCCAAUCCAGGCUUUUAGCAGGCCUAACCACAGCUAGAAGAAUUUAUAGAGCAGUUGUUCGCAUAUUUGUUGUUCAGGACCAGGCACAACCUUAUUUGUGUCAAAUUGCAUUCUAGAAUUUUACUUUAAAUUGCAUCCUAGAAUUUGCAAGAGUUAAGCAAAAAGAACAAAUUGCAGGCUAGAAUUUUACUUUAAAUAGAUAAAUCAAAUUUGCAGACUAUAACUUUGUUGUUCUAUAAUUUGACAUCCCAUCUAGACUGUUAGCAAGCCUAACUGGAACUAGAAGUAUUUUAGUGAAACAAUCAGACAAUACAAUUCAAAAGAUAUAUAAGCAGAAUCAUAUGGAGCAAGUCCUUUAGGUUAAAUACAUUGCAAUGACCAUUCUGAUGUAUGUAGUCUAUGGAGCAGAAUCAUAUGUUGUCAGUGCAGCUAGCAAUAUACGCCUACAAAUAAUUUAAUAGAUGACAUUUGUGCUGACAUUUAAGCCCCUCUUCUCCCAUUUUCUCUUAUGCUUCUGUUAUGUUACUUGGAGAAUCUAUGCUAAAAUUUGCAUAUGUAGUCUAUCCUAUAAGAUAGAUGCAUGCAGGCUCCAUUUUUCUAUGGUGAAAACAAAAAAACGAUGAUAUGGUCUUGAUAUUGUCUACACUUCCAUGUUGUUGAUUGUACGUGUUGUUUUGGUGCCUAAUUGUUUUACUUCCACUGUUUCUUUAGGUGACUGGAUUCUAAGCGAGGCUACUCAUCGCCCGUAACUUUGGAAGUGUCGGUUAGUUGACAUACUAUUCACUUGUACCUCAUGCGAUUUCUUAUACAUGUACUUGUAAUUACUGAUUAACUAGACGUAUAACUCAGAUUUAUAAGAAGGCAGAAAAUGAUGCAAAAUCUAAGUGUUCUUUUGGAUCUCACCAAUUGUCAGCACGUCUGCUUAUAGCGAAGUUCUAGAGAAGGUAAAUUCUUUUGAUAGAUGCAAAAUCUAGCAUUAUUUUAUCCUUUUUACGCGUUCAUAUGACUUUUGUGAUAUGUCACGUUGUGAAGUGUUCAACUGUGUCUAACUACGUAUUAUUGCCUUCUCCUUUUUGUUGUACAGGAAAAGUUGGAAUGAAACUCAAAUUUUGGUGGAUGCAUAAGUGUGGAGACUUGAAUUCAUAUAUACUUAAUUAGGCUCAACGUUAGCGCAAACAGUUGAUGACCAAGUUUUUUCAUUAGUAUUUUAGUUUGGAUUUAAAGUACACUUAUGUAUGAGUUAUUU
rnacentral:lncRNA from 1 species